rnacentral:lncRNA from 1 species
GCACCGCCGCGUACCCGGGUCUCCAAGCCAACCCAGCUCCCCAAGCCCCGGGACCCCGGCCCUCCGUGGCCCCCUCCCCGGGAGCUCCUCCCUCCGGGCCCCCCCCCGCCACCCCCUCGCGGACCCCACGAGUCCCCCUUUACGCCUCCAUAGUGGAUUACCGCGGUGCCCGCAGGUUUCGGGCUCCCCUUACCCGGCUCAGGUGGUAGCCGGCGUGUCCCUGAGUCCGCGCCCGGCGCUCUGAGAGGGUGGCCGUGGUUAAUUCCCGGUAGUGACCGCCAUAGCGCCACGUGGCCACUGCUUGACAAAGGAAACUUUUUUCAACCUCCAGUGAGCCUAAGAAAGCCCCAGCAUUUCAGGCCAAGCCGCUGGCUGCCUGGCUUCUGUUUUUACUCCUUUCCUUCUGUCCCUUUCUGGGACGAGCCACACCUUCUCUGCUUUCUCUGGGCCCGUCCAGGACGCUGGGCCCGGGGCCUGGCGCGGUGAGCUGCAGAUAGCCGGGGGCGCAGGGCAGCCCGGAGGCUGGAGGGCGACCUGGAAGGCUGGACCGGUUCGGGGCAUCUGGUGCUCAAGGAAAGUCAGCUCCCGCCGCCCCUCGGGGCCAGGUGGGUGCAUGAAGUACCCGGUGGCCCAGGUGCCUUUCCCCAACCCAAGGAGCUCAGAACUCUUGGCAGUUCGACGUUUGCAAACAAACCAAAGAGGAGCAGAAAGUUUUCAGACUCAGAGGCGACAUCCCAACAGCUUGGCUUGAAGGAGUACUUUAGGACUCAGAACAACAGGAUGAAGACAGCAGCUAAAAUAGAACACACCAGCAGAGACGUUCAGCUCCUUGAGCUGUGCUUCCGAAGCUCAAGCAUGGCAGAGUGGCCUUGUUAAAUCAGAGUUCAGGGUGCCACCCUGACAGUUUCUGAUUCCGUAGGUGCCCAGUAGGGACCAAGAAUCCUUUUUUUUUUUCCUUUUUCUUUUUAAUAGAGUCAGGGUCUUGCUAUGUUGCCCACAUGGGUCUCAAAUUCAAGCGAUCCUCCCACCUCGACCUCCCAAAGCACUGGAAUUCCAGGCAUAAGCCACCGUGCCUGGCCAAGAACGUUUUUUUUUUUAACAAGUUUCUAAAUGAUGCUGGUCUAUUGGUCCUGGGACCACACUUUGAAAUUGGUGGGAUAGGAGGCUGGGAUCUUUAUCCAUUCACUCAACUCCCAUUCCCCAUGGUUGAAAGUUUCCCUGGGGCAUCCCUGGGAGGCCUGGGGGCUGACAAGAUUCAAACGUUUUGGUGAAAAGCCCCAAGACAGUGAAGUGGGGUGUGCUUGAAGUGGGGCACCGUCAUCACCCACCUACCCACCACAGAGGUGAGCUAAAAGGUUACCAGACCGGAGCCUCCAGCAAUCCAGGAGCACAAACAAGGAUGCCUUAAAACAAAACUUGUGUCAGGGUACCCUUCGCUGCCUCAGAGGAAAUCAGAAUGACCUGGUGGACAACUGUUCAUAAGGACAAGAGCCAGUAUCACUGCCUUUGAGUCCCAGCCUCCUCAAAUCCAUUUUCUGCCCUGCACCACCUCAUCAUAUCCCGGAUAUUGUUAGUGUCGUGUCAUUUCAUGACUCAGGAGCUGCGGGUGACUUUGGUAAGAGCGGAGCGGUCGCUGUCUCAUCUGUCACCUCCUCCCUUCACCUCUGUGCAGCCAACGUCCAGGGAGCCUGCCUCUUGCUGUCCUUUUCAAAGCUUUCUGGGUCUCUCCUCUGUGCCUCUGAUCCAGUCUUUCAUGCUGCCCAGAACACUGUCUCUUUCUCCCAUGCCAGUGACAUCCAUUACUUUCUUCAAGGUCUGGCUCAAAACCCAGCACUCAGCCAGGCACGGUGGCUCACACCUGUAAUCCCACCACUUUGGGAGGCCAAAGCAGGCAGAUCACGAGGCCAGGAGAUUGAGACCAUCCUGGCUAACACAGUGAAACCCUGUCCUACUAAAAAUACAAAAAAUUAGACAGGCGUGGUGGCAGGUGCCUGUAGUCCCAGCUACUCGGGAGGCUGAGGCAGGAGAGUGGCAUGAACACGGGAGGCGGAGCUUGCAGUGAGCCAAGAUAGCAUCACUGCACUCCAGCCUGGGUGACAGAGCAAGACUCUGUCUCAAAAAAAAAAAAAACAAAAAACUCAGCACUCUUGGGAAAUUUCCCCUCCAGGGAGACAAGGUCACACAAGGCACAGAGAACCUUGGUGGGAGGCAGAAGCCCUAGGUUUGUUUAUGUCCUGGCUCAGACACUUUGCAGCCUCAUAGAUGACAUUAAACAAGCUCCUUAGCCUGUUAUCUUACUUUGGGCUACCCUAAAAGCAGAGACUAUGAUAUGGACUUGGAUAUGUGUAGUUAAUUUGGGAAGUGAUCCAGGGAAGCCGGAAUGAGGGGUGGGAAGUAGGAAAAAUCAAACAACUAUGUGUCAUUGAGCCCACUGCUCCUGUGGGCUACUGGAGAUCAGUCACACAGGGCACUCUCUGUGAACCGUGUUCAAAGCCCCUCAGAAUUGGCCCCCCAAAGAAUGGGAGGCUGGGAUCUCUAUCUGUUGACUCAACUCCUAUUCCCCAUGGUUGAAGGUUGCCCUGGGGGCACCAUUGGGGGCUGACAAGACUCAAAGGCUUUCGAGAAAAGCCCUGAAACAGUGAAGUGAGGUGUGCUGGAAGUGGAGCACGGUCACCACCCACCUGCGCACCACAGAGGCGGGCUAAGGGUGACGUAUGGCUGACAAAAGUCUUCUGCUCAAUACCUGUCUGUGCCUCAGUUUCUUCCUCUUUAAGAUGGGGUAACUAUCCACAUUUUAGGGUAGCGUCAAAUGACAGAGGUGACAUAUGCGAAGGCCCCUCCCUCAGCACAUGCCAGCCACCCCAGCUCCCUGACUGUGUCCACUCAACACUUACAACUGUUGUAUUCAUCAUGUCUACGUGCAUGUACGGUCCCUCAGUGUUAUCUAUGGCUAUUUCAGGUCUUUUAUCUUAGCUGAAGAUAAGGGCAGGUUCUUCCCUUCUUUUUUGUCACCCAUCCCAAAGUGCCUACCACACAGCUGAAUGCCAAGUAGGUCCUUGGUACAAAUGGGUGUCGAGUGAAUUUGCUGUCCCAAAAAAGUCAUCUGUGAGCCUGUUCUCUUCCACGGAGAUGCCCUGCAAGGCCAUGGAGAAGCCAUAGGGCAGCGUCCUAGCCUGCUUCUUACAGCUGAGAGACCAGCUCCAACAUUGCGUGAGCCCAUUGCCAAACUGCUGGUGAAGUACCAUGCUCUGUGGCAAACACAUGGCAGCUUGGGGAGGGAAGUCUUCUGACGCCCUGAGCCCUGGCAGGGCAAUGGGCAGUAGAUCAAGCUGGCCUGCCCUGCGUGGGCCCUCAGCAGGGAUGCAGGCGAGGCUCCCAGAAGACGAUGACUCAGGCCUGCAUCUGUGACUGGUUAUUCCAGAUGCUGCCCUGCAAUGGGACUGUUCUCUGCUCCCCCCACCCCCGACACCAGUACAGCACGGGAAUGCAUGAGAGUGAGCCUUGGUUUCUUUAGGGGAGUCACUGCGUAAUUGGAGAGCAGUGUUCAUGGGCAAGACAAAGGAGGGCCGGGGCAAGUAAGGGAAGAUGAGAAGAUGAUGUUCCAAACUACUCUCGGUAUAAAAUGUGCUUUGAAUAUUUUGGAUUAUUUUUCCAAUUGUAGAGAGAGUUUUCCCUGAGACACUGGUUCAUCACCAAGUCAGGUGACGCUGGGUCUGGGGCACUCUGCAUCUACAGCCUGGAACACAAUCGUCUUCUCUAGGCAAAACCACGUGACUCACAUGAGGCUCAAAGCUGGACCCUUCUUGCCGUCUAUACCAUACUUAGCAAAGACAACAGGCUUAACUGCUCUGUGAAAAAUGCUAAACAACUUCUCAAAAACAAUAAACAUCUUCUACCUACCUGAAUGUUUACAUUUAGACAGGCCUUUAAGAUUAUUAGUCUCUAUAAAAAUAUACAGGCAUACCUCAGAGAUAAUUCAAGUUCAGUUCCAGGCCACUGCAAUAAAGCAGAUAUCACAAUAAAGCAAGUCACACAAAUUUUGUGGUUCCCCAGUGCUUAUCAAAGCUGUGUUUGCACUAUACUAUAGCCUAUUAAGUGUGCAAUGAUAUUAUGUCUUUUAAAAAAGUACACAUGUUAUUUUAAAAAGACCUUAUUGACAAAAAGUGCUGACAGACACAAAGUGAGCACAUGCUCUUGGGGAAAAUGGCACCGAUAGACUCAUUCGAUGCAGGGUUGCCGUGAAUCUUCAAUUUGUAAAAAACACAAUACCUGCGAAGCAUAAUAAAGUGAAAUGCAAUAAAACAAGGUAUACCUGUAAACAACUCUAAAAUCAGUUAUUUACUCUUUUUUCCCUUCACCUGGAAUUCCUACCUGGUUAUCUCUAACUACAGUAAUCCCAUCCUUAAGAACUUGCUCAAAUGCCCCCUCCUCCAGGAAGUCCUCAUGAUCACCUCCACCCAAAAGAGCUCUUCCCUGGAGACAGAGGGAGGGCAGGCACAAAAAAGACAGUUUGUCUCCUUUAUAGUUUGACCUCACAUAAACUUUGGUGUCCUGGGAAGAAUAAUGCCAACAUUUCCACACUAUACAUGUGGAAAUGGCUUCAAACUCAUAUAAAUCUUUGGUUUAAUAACCAUAUAUAAAUGCAGUUAGAGAGAGGGAGGAUGAGGGAGAUUUAAAAAUAAGAGGCCAACGGAGAGGAGGCUAUUAAACUAUGUGGCAAUGAUUUAUUGAUUGAGAAAUAAAGGGAAUUCCUCUCUGUCUUCUUCUAAAUGAUCGGUUUCCAACUUCUAAACACUCCCAGAUGUGGAAUGCAUGUUUCUUCCUUCCAUUCCUCUCUGCAGGCUGCCCUGACAUUUGUUAAAUUGGCUCCUGGGUCCUGGUUUGCAAAUGUUGCCACUUUGAGAUCCGUAGAUGGUCAUCCCUGGCUCCCUUGGGGAGUGUCCUGGAAUCCACCAGCUCCAUCUGCUCGACAAGAGACUUGAGUUUGUUCUGUUACCUCUUUCAUCAUUAGCCAAAGCUCCGGGACUUGGUUAAAACUUUAGGCAAUUAAAAAGACUGACUUAUGGAGAUAGUAGUGUUUUCACUAUAUCGUCCCUGCUUGAAUUUAUGUUCUUGAAUUCCAUUAACCUGAAAUAUAUCAAAAUACCAAGAUGUUAUGAAGAAUGGGAACAAAUAUAGAAAAGUGAAAA